rnacentral:rRNA from 1 species
CUUCGACGUUAGCGGCGGACGGGUGAGUAACACGUGGGCAACCUACCUUAUAGUUUGGGAUAACUCCGGGAAACCGGGGCUAAUACCGAAUAAUCUGUUUCACCUCAUGGUGAAACACUGAAAGACGGUUUCGGCUGUCGCUAUAGGAUGGGCCCGCGGCGCAUUAGCUAGUUGGUGAGGUAACGGCUCACCAAGGCGACGAUGCGUAGCCGACCUGAGAGGGUGAUCGGCCACACUGGGACUGAGACACGGCCCAGACUCCUACGGGAGGCAGCAGUAGGGAAUCUUCCACAAUGGGCGAAAGCCUGAUGGAGCAACGCCGCGUGAGUGAAGAAGGAUUUCGGUUCGUAAAACUCUGUUGUAAGGGAAGAACAAGUACAGUAGUAACUGGCUGUACCUUGACGGUACCUUAUUAGAAAGCCACGGCUAACUACGUGCCAGCAGCCGCGGUAAUACGUAGGUGGCAAGCGUUGUCCGGAAUUAUUGGGCGUAAAGCGCGCGCAGGUGGUUUCUUAAGUCUGAUGUGAAAGCCCACGGCUCAACCGUGGAGGGUCAUUGGAAACUGGGAGACUUGAGUGCAGAAGAGGAUAGUGGAAUUCCA